UUUACGACUAGUAAUAAAUACUACAAAAUAACACCACCUCCUCGAAGCCACACCUACCCAUGCAAUUAAAAGAGCAGGAGUGGCAGUGGGAGGUGUGUUUACCAGUGGGGAACUUUUGAAAGUUCCCGAAAAAAAAACUUGUGGAAACUUACCUGGAGAAUUGAAGAGAGUUUAUUUCUUGCUUCCGACUUGGUGUAGAUCUGAAGGCAGACUGGAGACUGGAGCGAACGAGCAAGCUGAAGUCGAAAUGUGCCAGGGAAAAAGACCGUUCGGACUCCAGCCAGGGGGAUCUGAUCUGGCGACGAGGUCAUCAAUGGCAUUCUCCUUCAACCAAAGGUGGUUCUACAUACAUAUUGUGUGAGAACAAUAAUUGGUAAAUUGACCAUAGUUGAGUUUGUCAUGGCUGGUAAUUCCGGUCAAGUGAUUAAUUAAAUUAAUUAAGAUACUGCGCACCUUGCGUAGCAUUUGUUCUGCUGGAGUAAUACUUUGUUUCCCAGCUAAACCGAAUAAAAAUACAUAUAUA